AACAUUAACCGGAUGGCAAACACUGGGAGCUGGGACCAAGUGGUACCCGCUCCCUGGGUUGAGUAGCAGGAGGGAGAGCGCAGAGCCCGGCAGAAAAACAGCUGGAUUUCGGUGGAGUAUUGAUCUCAACCAGGAAGAAACCAAUUAAGACCCUCAAGGGAAACCCUGGACUUUCAACCAGAUCUGGAAUUUCAUUCCUACAAAGCUUCGUCCUCCUGCUCAAUCCUAUGCCUGCCCGAGCUGCCUGGUGAUCCCACAGGACCUGCGCCACCCCUCCUCUCCAUCGGACAGCCAGCAUUCCCAACCUGGACCGGAAGGCGACUUUGGCCCUGAAGUCUCACGGCAACCGCCAGGGUCUGGCUCCCAUCCUCUGACUUCAGAAGUUCUCCUUCCCUGGGUGGCCAUGGAGACAACUGACGCCCAGAAAAGAGGUGAGGCAGGUGGGGAAGCACCUUUGCCCACCUGGAGCAUCGGGGAGACUCCUGCGCCUGCUGGCUUCACCCGAGAUGCAAGACCCCUCCCCAGCCCAAUGCACCUAGUGAGCCCAUCUUCGGCAGGGGGAGGGGGCGGCGGCGGACUGCACCCCUCCCACCCCCAGCGCUCCCUUCUCUGCUUACCCAAGCUGGGGGCCUUGGCUGACAAAACUGGGGUGGUUGAAGGGGUGCUCACGGGGAGGCAAUGGGAUCAGGCCUGGGAAGGACUCAGGGCAGCGCAGACGGCCCGGCCUUCAAACCCCACUCUUGACCUGAAUAUCCCUGGCUGGAGACCAGAGGCUCUCCCCUCAGCCUUUCCACAGGUCCUUGGGGUCCAGUCACCCCCAUCCGUGGGACCCACUCUUUAUAAAGGCUAGGGUGGGUUGUCACCAUGGUAUCAGUUCCUCCCUGGCUAACGAGGUAAAAGUAAAAGGCAGAAGAGAGAAGGAGGCUGGCGAGGGGCAGGAGGUGCUGGGUGGCUUCUCGUACCAGACCCAGGCUACUCCAGCAGGCCUGAGGGCUUCCUGCAACAGCCAGUGAGUCUGCGCUCACCCCCCCCACCCCCGAAUCUGGCCAGAGGGCAGCGACGACAAAGCCCUCGCUUAUCUGAAGGGCUUCCAGUGCAAAGAUGGAGCCUCAGGCAGCAGAGCAGAUGGACAGCUACCACUGUGUCGGGGGAGAGAUCAGAAAGAGGGCUGUCGGCAGAGCUGAGGAGGAGAGACAGGGCAUUCUUCCUGAUGGUCAGAGUCCAGCCAACUCAGGGCAACACAAAGGAAAGCUCUACCCACUACGGUGGCCGAUGACCCUCUGGAUGUGAAAACACUUGAAGAAAAACUGGAAAGAUGCGCUGGACACAGCUCCUGACGUCUAUGGCUCAGGCCGGUGGGAGGUCUUGUGCCACCUCUCAGCGUCGCACCAACUGCCCAGUUUCUGCCUCUUCCUCCCAAUGUCCACCUGCCAUUUCUACCCCCUCCCCCACAACGUUCUGUCCUGCCCACACCCAGCCCCAAGCUAGGACGUCCACAUCCACAGGAAGUUUGGCAGGACCAGGAAGAAGGCAGCACCCAGGGGGCGGAGGGCAGACCCCAGGGGCCAGUGUGCCUGGCAGCCCAGAAUGGAGGAGGAAGACAUCUGUAGAAGGGCCCCCUCUCUGGUCUCGCUGAGUCUCCAGAAGAACCUCCAGUGUGGGAGCAGGAGGCCGGGAGGGAAUCACUCAACACUGCUCAGCUGAGUCCCUGGUGCACUUGGCCUCUGUGAGCUCAUGAUCUGUGUUGGGUGGAGAGUCAGUGCUUCUGUAAUUUAUCUGGGGUGACAGGUAGCGGGUGAAGGAAGACAGUCCAGUAUUAAUUGAGGGUAAGAGGCAGGAAAGGCCUGGGCAAUGGGUGUGGUCAGGAGGACGAUUUUACAAAGAGAUUAACGAAGCCAGUGAGGGCGGACUGCUCCAGCACGUCUCCAGCCACAGGUGGAAUCAGUCAGGAAGCAGGGCUCUGGCCAGGCCUGCUGCCAUCUCUCCCUCAUCUGUCAUCAGAACCCCUGACCUCCGGGCCCCACGCGGCAGCUGGCCCCCCUCUUCCAGCCAAGCAGCAGUAUCUAUUUCUAGCCUGUUGUUCUGCUGAGAGCUCAGACACCGGUCCUCGUGUGUGGGACUGAGGGAGAAAUCAGAGGUGAAAGGGUGGGAGAGAUGGGAGAGAGAAUCAGAGAGAAAGGGAAAGCCAGCCAGGAGAACGGAGAAGUCAGAAAGGAGAGGCAAACAGAGGUGGAGAAAGGAAAACAGGGGAGUCCGAGAGGGAAGGGUAGGGAAGGAUUUGAGAAAAGGAAAAGUGAGAUGGAGCAGAAAAGGCUGCUGGAAAGAGGAAAGAAAAGAGAACAGGUGUGGGGGAGAGGGCAGAGACCAGCCGCAAGGGUGAGGACUCGCUCGUCCAAAUCUGCUCUUUUAAUGUCACCUGGGUCUGCAGCCACGUGUUUCCUGUUCCCCUCGGAGGCACUAAUUCGACAAUAUCCCUCGGAAGGGUGGAAGGUUUCGCGAGAGAAAGGACGCCGGACGCCCCACUCGCUCCCAGGAAAGCAGCCCUCCACCCCUCCUCUCCCCACUGCCCCCCCUGCACACUUAGAAGGAGCGCCUCUCUCCUCACAGACGUCAGCUUUUGGCCCCGGGGAGGCCUUGAGGCCAGUGAAGACCAUGGCAGGUCCAAGGGGGAGGGCUGGGGGCUGAAGUCUGGCUUCCCCUCCAUGCGGGCCCCCUUAGCCCUCAACUCUGCCCCUAUAAGCAAAGCCCACAACCUCUGCCUUGUUCGUGCCGAGUGGGGCCAAGGCUGGGAUCCGUCAAUCUACUGGGCCCACCCAGGGAUAGGUGGCCCCAUGAGCAUCAGGUUGGAAGCCACAGGGCUGACUGGCGCGUGCUUGACUUUGGGGGAUCGCUGAGCCAUGUGGGAAGACAGGCCCCCCCAGUGAUUCUGACCCAAGUUCCUACACUAAACCCAGCCUCACCCCACCCCCUCCCCUUCGCUGGAGUGUCCUCAACGUCUUCUCCCACGCUUUCUCCCACACUUUCCCCAAGCCGAUGACACCUGCUGCAGCGGGGCCGGUGUUCGAGGAGCGGCGGAGGCACCCGCGUGCCCAUCAGGGACAAGUACAGGGAGCAGCAGGCUUGGGGGUGAGAGACAGUGACCUGAGACCAGGCCCCAGCUGCAAACCAGCAGCCUGUCCACUGCGCAGCCCCAGAGGGUGGAGCACGACAGACUUCGGCCAGCUGCUUUCAGGGGACAAGUUCAACAUCGUGCAACCCCGGCUCUGUGACCAACAGGAUGUGGCCUUCGCAGGGACUGCUUUACUCCACACUUGGCUUCUGGGUGUGAGCGCCUGGCCGGGGCUCCCCAGGGACGACCCCAGGCUGCAUUGUCACAGCCCCCAUAGAAGUGGACGUCUUCCAGGAGAAGCGUGCUCCUGGGGCUACUGAGGCGACUCUGAGGCUGAAGUCAGAUUCCAUCACCUGAGACAGCCUUUCUACUGAUGGGAAAGCUUUCUGCUUUUCCCCAGAACUGUCUUGGUUAAGGGAAGGAGACCUUGGCCCUGAGGUCAAGCCCUGGCACUGUCCCUGUCCCAGAGCUCUGUCAGCCUGGGGACACCUCCCAGGACCCAUCUCCUCUGGGGGCUGGAGAAGCCUUGUCCAGGAGUCCAGGAGAAGGUGGGCCAUCCUUACUUGGUCUCCAGGAAUCGAACCCUCCCUCCCUCCCCAGCAGUCCUGUCCAUUGUGUCUGGUCUCUGAGAGGUCUGGUCAGGGGACAAAGCCCACCUUUCUAGACCCCUCAGUUGCCUCAAGCCCACAGGGAAGCCAAGCUGCCCCCACCCCCACGCCUCCACUCCCCUGACCACGCCCAUCCCACACCUGCUUCUCACAGACCCAACGAGAAGAAAAAAGGGAUACUUACAUUAUACCAACUCUGGCUUUUCUGAAAGAACAAAAUAAAAGAGAAGCAAUGUUA